rnacentral:rRNA from 1 species
ACGGGGUUGGCCGACCGGCGCGACGGGUGCGUAACACGUAUCCAAUUCUCGUCCCGUUUACUCGGGGGAUAGCCUUCUGAAAGGAAGAUUUAAUACCCGAUGGCAUGUAUUUCCGGCAUCGGAGAUACAUUAAAGAUUUAUCGGUAACGGAUGAGGAUGCGUACGAUUAGCUGGUUGGCGGGUAACGGCCCACCAUGCCUACGAUGUCUAGGGGUUCUGAGAGGAAGGUCCCCCACACUGGAACUGAGACACGGUCCAGACUCCUACGGGAGGCAGCAGUGAGGAAUAUUGGUCAAUGGUCGGAAGACUGAACCAGCCAAGUAGCGUGAAGGAUGAAGGUUCUAUGGAUUGUAAACUUCUUUUAUACGGGAAUAAAACCACCUACGUGUAGGUGCUUGUAUGUGCCGUAUGAAUAAGCAUCGGCUAACUCCGUG